CAUUGGGACAGCGGUGUCAGGACAGUGGUGGCAGCAAGAGCGGCGGGACUGGCACAGGGCAAGGCACCAUGGCCCUUGCUCUGCGCCUCCUCCUCCUGCUCCUCCUGGCCGUGGCCCUGCCUGCCAGGGCUGCCCAGGCUGCUCCAUUGCAAGCGCGGGGAGCAGGUGAGCCGGCAGCCUGGCUCCCCUUUCCCAGGACAGCGCUCCCUGCUCUCCGGGGAAGCGCUGGGGAUGGUUUUCCCCUGGGGUUUAGGGAGGGUUUCCUCUGUGGGAGGGAGUGAAAUCCCGUGGCCCAUGGGCUGCUCCAGCUGCCCUCCCAGGGAUGUGGCACAGGGCCUACCAAAGUGUGGAGACUGGCCAAGAGACAGCCCAGAGCUCCCCAGGCCCCUGUGCAGCUUUGGCCUUGUCCUUUCACAUCUGGCUCCCAUGGCCUUCCCUGAGCCCCUUGCAGUGCCAAGUUCCCACAGACAGAGGGGGAUGCCAGCACACAAGGAACUGGUUCUCAUCUGUGCUCCCUUCUAGAUGAGCAUGCUAGGAAGGCUUCUCCAGCAGCUUGGCUCCAUGAAGAUUUCCAGCCUCUUAAGUCUCGUGCAGGUAUACUGAUAAUGUUCCUAAAAGAAUAAUCACUGACAACCUGGCAGGAACCAGCUGGCAGAAGCUUCUGUGGCUAUUGAGUUGCAGGUGCGUCUGCAGGGAGGACAUUUCAGGCUCCUUUCCUGGUUGCUGAACACAAGUCCGUCUCCCAUCGCAGGGGUCCUCUGAGAGGGAGGAACAAACCUACAGGAAACAGUAAGGCUCUAGAGACAUACAAACACAUAGAGAAGAUGCUGAGUGAUCUGGAGAGACGCCGUGGUGGGUGCAUUCCCCUCCCCCUUCCCCUGGGACUCAGCAGCUGGGGGCUUUCCCUGCACAUCUGGACAGACCCUGCCUAGCACAGCAGGAAGGGAUCCAUGGCAGCCUCGCUGCCCCGCUGCUGCUCUCACGGCCUGCAGGGCUGUUUCCCAGCCUGGCCUGGCUGCAGCUUCUCCCCAGCCUCUGCAGGAAGGCAUUUGGCACCAGCUGACAGGGAGCCCCAACUGCACCAUGGCUCAUGCACACCCUGAGAUCCCCUGCAAUUUCCCAGUCACUGAGCACAUCUGGAGGGGCAGAUGUUUGAAGGAGGGUGGGCCCUGCAGCAGCCCCAGUAACCUGGUCUUUAUCCUGAAUCUCAUCCAUGACUGAGACAAGCUUUGCCUCCUGAAGAUGCCACCUUCCUGCUGGGGAACAGCCCAAAUGAUCCAGCUGUCCCUUUUCCUUUCCCCAGAGAUGGAAGGAGAGGCUGUGCUGAAGGCUGAGUUUCCCAGAGGAAGCAGUGGCUCAUUGGCAGCCUCUGCUGCAGGAAGGGAGGCGCUGCCAGGCACAGUCACAGGAGAUUGGGACCGUGACUUGAAGCGUUUGGAAAGAGUGAUAAACCACGGUUUAAGGAUCUUGGAGUCUGGUGAAGCUGAACGUGAGGAUGAAGAGGAUCUGGAUUCCCAACCCAUACCCAUUACUGAGCCUCUGGGAGAUGGUGAGGGUAGGUCAAGGCCUUUCCCCCUGCGAGAGCUGCCAGCUCAGAGCCCAAAGCUCGGCCAGGGGGGCAUCGCUGCAGGUGCCAGGACAGAACCACGCACGUGUGUGCCCUCGCCCUGGGCCAUCCCCUCACCGCUCCUGGGGCUCAGUGCUGCCCGUGCAGAUCUGCAGAGAUGACAGAGGCUUCUGUGGCUGUUGAGUUACAGGUGUGGCUGCAGAGAAGACUUUCUCAGGUCCUUUGGUGCAUGUUGCUCGCAAGCCCAGCUUCCAUCGCAGGGGUCCCCUGAGAGGAAAGAACAAACAUAUAGGAAGGAGUAAAUCCAGGGAGGAAUCAAAACAUCUUGAAGAAAUCCUGAGUGAUCUGGAGAGACAGCAUGGUGGGUGCAUUUCCCUCCCCCUUCCCCUGGGACUCAGCAGCCGGGGGCUGUCCCUGCAGAUCUGGACAGGCCGUGCCUGGCACAGCAGGAAGGGAUCCAUGGCAGCCUCGCUGCCCCGCUGCUGCUCUCACGGCCUGCAGGGCUGUUUCCCAGCCUGGCCUGGCUGCAGCUUCUCCCCAGCCUCUGCAGGAAGGCAUUUGGCACCAGCUGACAGGGAGGCCCAGCUGCACCAUGGGCCUGAGAUGCCUGCAGUUUCCUACUCUCUGGGGAGAUGCAGAGAGGCACCUGUUUGCUGGAGGGUGGAGUUUUGGAGCAGCUCCAAAACUCUGGGCAUUUUCCUUGUCUUUAUCCACCUCUUUGACAAGUAUUGCUGGGAGCAGCACAGCACAGCACAGAGGAAUUAUUGCAUGCAGGCUCAGGGCUUUGGGCACUGAGCAGUCCUGUGCCAAGAGGCAGCAAGGUGCCUGCAGGCCCCAGCUCAGGGGGAAACAGAGAGCGAGAAUGUCCUGGCCGUAUCCACCCUGCUGCCAGCUCAGCAGUGCAGCAUAGCAAUGGCUCACGCUCCCCAUUGCUCCCAAGAUGCAGCUGGCACCUCAACACGUGCUGACAAAAUCUGGAAAAGCAUGAGAAGAGAUUUCUGCCGGGGAACAUCUUGUUUGAUGAAGUUGAUGGUCAUUGUGGCUGGUGCAGCACUUGGCCUGAUGAUGUGCUCUGUCGGAAUCUGGUAUUGCUGGAACAGAAAAUGGUGAGUGUUUUGCUGAUCUCAAUCUCAAACAGCUUCCUUUAAAGGCUGCUAAAAAUCAGGGAAGAUUCCCAGUGAGGCUGCAGUGGAGCUGUGGCCAGUCCAUGGCUGUCCAAAGAACUCGGCUGAGGGCUCUGCUCUGCCCAGUGCUUUCCUUGGCCUCUUCAUUGCUGAGGCUUGUCCUGCGGGGCCCGCUGGGGCUGCAGCCAGUGCUGGCUCCCACUGAGGCUGCCUGGCCAAGAGCAGCCCCAGGGGCACAGGGCAGAGGCAGAGCAAGGUGGGGAGGAGAAAGAGCAAGGACGAGAUUGCCCCUGAAAGGCAGAGGCGCUCUGGGGCCCGCUCCUGGCCAGGGAGCCUGCCCAGAGCCGUCCCCUGCUCGCCGGGGCCUUGAGGGGCAGCUGUCCAGCUGGGCCAAGGUGUGCCAGCCGCUCCAGCCGUGCUGGGGAGCCCUGCCAGCUCUGGGCCCUGCUGUGCAGGAGGCUCCCUGUGUGCCACUGGCAGCUGGGGCCUCAGCCACUGCUCUCUCCCAAGGUGCUGCUGUGCAUCUCCAGGAGACGAGCCUAACAACUCCGGCAGAGAGAACUUGACCCGUGUUCCCAGCUCUUCACGUCUGUCCCCAUCUGCCCUGCCGCAGCUUCUGGACCAUCUUGAGCCAUUCCCAAAACAAACCCCUCCACAACGAGACCCUCUGCCCCUGAGCCCCCUGGUCCUGUUCCCCUAGCAUGACUGAAGGUGGGCAGGCCCCACCUGCCAGGGCAGGGCUUGGCCCACAUUUUAUG
rnacentral:lncRNA from 1 species